rnacentral:rRNA from 1 species
GAAGCCUGGUGCUUGCACCGGGUGGAUGAGUGGCGAAGGGUGAGUAACACGUGAGUAACCUGCCCCUGACUUCGGGAUAAGCCCGGGAAACUGGGUCUAAUACCGGAUACGACUGCCGGACGCAUGUCUGGUGGUGGAAAGUUUUUUCGGUUGGGGAUGGGCUCGCGGCCUAUCAGUUUGUUGGUGAGGUAAUGGCUCACCAAGACGACGACGGGUAGCCGGCCUGAGAGGGCGACCGGCCACACUGGGACUGAGACACGGCCCAGACUCCUACGGGAGGCAGCAGUGGGGAAUAUUGCACAAUGGGGGAAACCCUGAUGCAGCGACGCAGCGUGCGGGAUGACGGCCUUCGGGUUGUAAACCGCUUUCAGCAGGGAAGAAGCGCAAGUGACGGUACCUGCAGAAGAAGUACCGGCUAACUACGUGCCAGCAGCCGCGGUAAUACGUAGGGUACGAGCGUUGUCCGGAAUUAUUGGGCGUAAAGAGCUCGUAGGUGGUUGGUCACGUCUGCUGUGGAAACGCAACGCUUAACGUUGCGCGUGCAGUGGGUACGGGCUGACUAGAGUGCAGUAGGGGAGUCUGGAAUUCCUGGUGUAGCGGUGAAAUGCGCAGAUAUCAGGAGGAACACCGGUGGCGAAGGCGGGACUCUGGGCUGUAACUGACACUGAGGAGCGAAAGCAUGGGGAGCGAACAGGAUUAGAUACCCUGGUAGUCCAUGCCGUAAACGUUGGGCACUAGGUGUGGGGGGCAUUCCACGUUCUCCGCGCCGUAGCUAACGCAUUAAGUGCCCCGCCUGGGGAGUACGGUCGCAAGGCUAAAACUCAAAGGAAUUGACGGGGGCCCGCACAAGCGGCGGAGCAUGCGGAUUAAUUCGAUGCAACGCGAAGAACCUUACCAAGGCUUGACAUACACCGGACCGUCCUGGAAACAGGUCUUCUUCUUUGAAGCUGGUGUACAGGUGGUGCAUGGUUGUCGUCAGCUCGUGUCGUGAGAUGUUGGGUUAAGUCCCGCAACGAGCGCAACCCUCGUUCUAUGUUGCCAGCACGUGAUGGUGGGAACUCAUAGGAGACUGCCGGGGUCAACUCGGAGGAAGGUGGGGAUGACGUCAAAUCAUCAUGCCCUUUAUGUCUUGGGCUUCACGCAUGCUACAAUGGCUGGUACAGAGAGAGGCGAACCCGUGAGGGCAAGCGAAUCCCUUAAAGCCAGUCUCAGUUCGGAUCGUAGUCUGCAAUUCGACUACGUGAAGUCGGAGUCGCUAGUAAUCGCAGAUCAGCAACGCUGCGGUGAAUACGUUCCCGGGCCUUGUACACACCGCCCGUCAAGUCACGAAAGUCGGUAACACCCGAAGCCG